GGAGUUGUGGCUCAGCUGUAGAGUGCUCGCCUAGCAUGUGUGAGACCCUGGGUUCGAUCCUCAGCACCAACA
rfam:Ictidomys tridecemlineatus contig113833, whole genome shotgun sequence.